rnacentral:rRNA from 1 species
GACGAACGCUGGCGGCGCGCUUCACACAUGCAAGUCGAGCGAGAACCACUCCUUCGGGAGUGGGGAAAGCGGCGAACGGGUGAGUAACACGUAGGUAAUCUGCCCUUGGUACCGGGAUAGCCCGGGGAAACCCGGAUUAAUACCGGAUAGCCUCUCGAGCUCUUGGGCUCGUGAGAAAAGAGAGCUUCGGCCUUCGACCGAGGAGGAGCCUGCGGCGGAUUAGCUUGUUGGCGGGGUAACGGCCCACCAAGGCGACGAUCCGUAGCUGGUCUGAGAGGACGAACAGCCACACUGGGACUGAGACACGGCCCAGACUCCUACGGGAGGCAGCAGUGGGGAAUCUUGCGCAAUGGGCGAAAGCCUGACGCAGCGACGCCGCGUGAGGGAUGACGGCCUCGG